UCCCCACGUGGGACGUGGACUGGGUCCACCUAAUGUCCUUGAAUCUACCCCAGUGCUUUGAAUAGUGCCUGGAAAUUGGUGCUGGGAGCUUAGAAAAUAACCUGAUACCUAUAGUUUGAAUGCUCGGAUAAACUGCAGAACGUCUUAUAAAUGGGGCACAAAGCUAGGAGACCAAAGCAGCCAGAAAGAGGGAGAAAUCUGCUCUGUAAAGUUGGAGACUGGAUUAACCAGCAUUUGCAAUUAAGGGAAACUUGUUUAUGAUUAGAAGUCAUUCAUCAUAAUGAAUUCACCUGCUUUUUAUCUAAACAGCAGGAUAAUGGAUUCCCCUCAGGAGCCAGAAUGAGAAGAACCCUCUUCGUCCUAGGGAAGCCAAAUGAUCUCCAUUCUUCCAUCCCUUUGAGGUUGGCACCAGGGUCAGCUUCCACAUCUGUGUUAAAAAAAUUUGAGGAGCCCUGUCCGGAAACUACUGAACCUUUUGUGAACGGUGGAAAAAAGAAAAAACACUUUUGAAGAAAGAAGCCCAGGUAAACCUAUCGUGGGUUAGUUACCUGGACGGGGAGGGUGCAACUCAUUUAAGAGUGGCCUGACAUUUCAGAGCUAAGGCUGCUCACCUUAAAAAAAAAAAAAAAAGACAUUUCACUUUCCUUCACAGUGCUCAAAAAAGAAAGCAAGUUGCAGCGGACGGGAUACCCGAUAACUAUUCUGUUGACUCUGGCCCAGAUUAAUCCUCCUCCUGCCCUGCCAGGUAUGGUGACGCUUUACCUCGGACAGUGUCGGUUGGGGUUUUAAAUUAGAAUCGCAGUGGGUUCACCCAGUUUCCAGGUGAGAGGCCGGGGUCCCAGACGCGACGGGGUCCCGACUCACAACAGCCUCCCUGCCAAUCGGUGUCGUCCACAGCCUUUCCACUUUCCUCCCCCACACUGUUCCCGUCUUCAGAGUCAGAGCCUGCUUUCUUCCUGCUCCUUCUAUACGUGAGGCACGAUCUACAAGCUCAGCCUCUGGCCAGGGCUCUGCACGUGUCCUGGAGUGGGGCAGGCUCAGGGCCACGAAAGGGGAACUGCUUUUAACUAUGUGCUAGAUGCCACGGCCUCAGAUUCGCACCCCGAGACUGCCGGAAACCACCCCCUGAUCACGUGACAGGCUAAUGAGGCAGCAGGAUGACCGCACCUACAUGACUUAAAUGGAAGGAGUUCCUGCGGGCUGGGAGAAAGAGUUGUAAUUUGUAGUAUGUCUGCCCGGGGCCCUUUUGAGGGGCAGGCGGUAACCUGCAGCUGCUAGUCACGGGACCGCAAGUCGGAAAUCCCCAAGCUCGGUGGCGUCAACCGGGAAAAGCAGAAUUACCGGACCGACACGACGGCGUUCUCGUUCGACUCCAGUCCCUCCCCUUAAUGGAAGCGGUCCGGGCCCGACCCUGGAAUGGACAGUCCAGUUUCACCCGCUCCCUAGCGCUAGCCCUGAGUUUGGUUCUUUCGAAGCAUUCAGAGGAAUUCCUCUGUCGCACUUAGGUUAGACCUGUGAACCUCAUGAACUUGCCCCGCUCCCGGCAUACUACUAAGACUCAAAAUGAAGUGCAUGCUUUUCUGUCCCCUCAUCUUUAUGAACUGUUUUCAUUAUAGAAGCGUUUCCCUACGAA